rnacentral:rRNA from 1 species
CGGGUGCAUUGAUCCAGCCGGGCCUUUCCCUCUGUGGAACCCCAUGGCCUUCACUGGCUGUGGUGGGGAAACAGGACUUUUACUUUGAAAAAAUUAGAGUGCUCCAGGCAGGCCUAUGCUCGAAUACAUUAGCAUGGAAUAAUAGAAUAGGACGUGUGGUUCUAUUUUGUUGGUUUCUAGGACCGCCGUAAUGAUUAAUAGGGACAGUCGGGGGCAUCAGUAUUCAAUUGUCAGAGGUGAAAUUCUUGGAUCUAUUGAAGACUAACUACUGCGAAAGCAUUUGCCAAGGAUGUUUUCAUUGAUAAGGAACGAAAGUUAGGGGAUCGAAGACGAUCAGAUACCGUCGUAGUCUUAACUAUAAACUAUGCCGACUAGGGAUCGGACGAUGUUAUUCUUUGACGCGUUCGGCACCUUUCGAGAAAUCAAAGUGCUUGGGCUCCAGGGGGAGUAUGGUCGCAAGGCUGAAACUUAAAGAAAUUGACGGAAGGGCACCACCAGGGGUGGAACCUGCGGCUUAAUUUGACUCAACACGGGGAAACUCACCAGGUCCAGACACAGUGAGGAUUGACAGAUUGAGAGCUCUUUCUUGAUUCUGUGGGUGGUGGUGCAUGGCCGUUCUUAGUUGGUGGAGUGAUUUGUCUGCUUAAUUGCGAUAACGAACGAGACCUUAACCUGCUAAAUAGCCCGUACUGCUUUGGCAGUUCGCCGGCUUCUUAGAGGGACUAUCGG